UCAAAGUGUAUGGUUCGUUUUGUUUUGGUUCGUGUUGCAUCUGGAUGGACGGAGUGUUUGCUGUCGAAAGAGAAAGACUCGCGGUCACAAUUAAACUAGACUUCUCGCUUAGUCUGUCACGUUGCCAAAGGCUCUCAAAACUCCUCCUCUAAACGAGUGAUCACCUCCCCUGGUUGAGGAGCGCCUGCCCCUCUACUAGAUACGCUCCUCCCGUAUUCUGUGGCUAACGAUAUCGUUAGCAUCUAGCUAAAUUUAUCCAUGUCCGCCGAAGAGGGCUUGAGUUCUGCGAUCUCGGACUGGUUCAUCUUCAAUUCCUGGUGGCUCCUUCUGCCUUUCGUCAUGUUGCUGGUUGUUGCUGCAUUUAUUGUCGCCUUUGUGCUGUUGCUGUAUAUGAUAUCCCCGCUGAUUAGUCCCAAACCUCUCAAAUUAAACGGGGCCCACGUCGUGGUGACUGGCGGAUCCAGCGGGAUCGGAAAGUGCAUCGCCAUGGAGUGCUACAGGCAGGGAGCCUUCAUCACGCUGGUGGCGCGGGACGAGAGUAAACUGGUUCAAGCCAAGAAAGAAGUUGAAAAAUGUGCUAUAAAUGACAAGCAGGUGGUGCUCUGCAUUUCUGUGGACGUGUCUAAAGACUACAGCCAGGUGGAGAGCGUCAUCAAGCAAGCCCAGGAGAAGCUGGGGCCUGUGGACAUGCUGGUGAACUGCGCCGGCACGUCCGUCUCUGCCAAGUUCGAGGAGGUGGAAGUGGACCGCUUCCGGAGCAUGAUGGAGGUGAACUACCUGGGCAGUGUGUACCCCACGCGUGCGGUCAUCACCACCAUGAAGGAGCGCAGGAUGGGGCGCAUCAUGUUCGUGUCGUCACAGGCGGGCCAGAUCGGCCUGUUCGGCUACACCGCCUACUCCCCGUCCAAGUUCGCCCUGCGCGGCCUGGCCGAGUCCCUGCAGAUGGAGAUGAAGCCCUAUAACAUCUACGUGACCGUAGCCUAUCCUCCAGACACAGACACUCCUGGCUUCGCAGAGGAGAACAAAUCAAAGCCUUUAGAGACGAAGAUGAUCUCGGAGACAUCGGGGAUCUGCCAGCCAGAGCAAGUUGCUAAAGUUAUUGUCAAGGAUGCGGUGCAAGGGAACUUCAGCAGCUCUGUGGGUCCUGAUGGCUACAUGCUCUCUGCCCUCACCUGUGGAAUGUCCCCCGUCACCUCCAUCACAGAGGGCCUCCAGCAGUCUCCCGGCUUCCUGACAGACACAAGAACGGCCUCGGUUGACCCGUCACAGACUGUGGUUGUGUAGAGUGAGUGUGAGCGCACCUUCGGUGUGAACAGCAUGGCGGAAUGCUAAUUGUAGAUGGCGAAGUGCGAGCCGUGGGAGUGUGAAACGCACGUGAGAUCGUGACCAUGGGUCUCUUCCGCACCAUCGCCCUCUUCUACCUGGGGAGUUUCGACAGCAUCGUACGCCGGUGCAUGAUCCAGAGGGAGCAGUCCAAGGUCACGGACAAGAGCGAGUAACGCCUGCCCCUUCUCCAGCUCGCCCUGACCCCUGCCCUGACCCUAACCCCCAAAAAAAUCCCCACCACGAGCAAGAGGAGAUUCUAACCCUACCCCGUUAUUCACUCACACCCCCCCCCCCCCCCUUCUACAAGCCCCCAGCUAUGAUGUCAGAGAGGGGCAACAGGGUGAGACGGCAAGGGAGGACGUGGUGGUGGUGAUGAUGUCAUCGCAGGGCCGGCCUUGGAUGAAUGACCUCCAGUGCAUAUCCACCUGACAUAGUCCAGAUGUGUGUGUAUGUGUAUGUGAGUGUGUGUGUGUAAACUUGUUCUUAAACUGGUGUUCUUAUUUUCCGCUUUCCUUCCCAAGUGUCUCAUUGUGUUUGCAGUCCCAGAACAUUUCAGUUUCACGGUUUGUCUUCACACUCAACCGCACUAAAAAGCCAUGUCUCUAAAACUCCCUUCGUUUUGCUCUGAUAUAAUCUAACAUUGUGUCUGUCUUUAUUUGCAUUCCCUGUGUACAGACAUUAGGAGGAAUUCUAAACACAAAUAAGUAGCAGGCUAAUUGUACAGCACGUGUCCUGCUUGUGCUUUUGUGUUUGUCUGGGCCAGUGUGGUGAAGUCGGGUGCGCUGAAGUAACUGCUGUGCUUGUGUUUGGUUGGGAUAUGUACGUGUGCUUCAUAGGCCUAACCAGUUCUCUGCUCUGAAAUAGGAGAUUAACGGUGUGAAUGUGCCUCUUUUCAUCACAAAUUUCACAGGCUUUGAACUUAAAGAAUUGGAAAAUACAGCUUAAUGUUGCUUACCUAUUCGUUGCUGAUUCUCUCUGCUCCCAUGAAAUCCAUCCAAAAAACCGGUUUGUGGUGUCUGAUUAAAAGACAAGAUUGUGUAUCGGUAUAACACAGCAGAUUUGGGAAAGUGAUCGUUUUGUUUUGCGAAGGAGCGUGGUAUUCAUCACACUCUUGGUUCUUUGUCUCGAAGUCAAGAGGAGGAUAGAAACAUAUAUCGAUGUAUUCCCUGCGUCCCAUGGAAACAAAAUGGGGUCGGUCACCAAACGCAAAAAAUUAGUCUGGGCGUCUUUCCGUUAACUUCCAGAAUUAGCUGGUCAUUCCAGUUCUUUGCGGGCAAAGAAUAAUUAGUAUUAUAUUUGUUAUUUCGGUGUUUCACCAAUAUGGCAGACUGAUAUUUGUGCCGCGCUCAGGUCUGUGGGAAUGUGUCGGUUGGUACCGAGAGAGCCCGUUAACGCAAAGCCUUUUCACAGAGCGUUACCUCUGUACCAGGAAUCCGUUUGUGACAGGUGUGAUAUAUAACAUAAUAUAAUAUGAGUUCCAGUUUGAGGACGGGGCUCUUUGACCGAUUGCGUUCCUGUACUUGUGUAACUUGCAUGCACCAGUUUUUUGGGGCAGGGUGUAUGUGUGUCAAUGUUGUUAUGGAAACGCGCUCCUGGGAGGGAGGGGUGGGGGCGUGCGGGCUGAACAGGCUUGGACUCGCGGGUUCGAGGACUGCCUGUGUCAGCCUGGCGGGGGCGCUGGAGGGCACUUUAUUGGUCAGUGUGUCCCGUUCCAGGUAGUCUUUCCAAAUCCAUUGGCUGUCCUGUGCUCUCCACACCCGCCCUCCACUGCACACACACACAAAUGACCAUUAUUUAAAAAAUAAUAAAUGAUGUCAGUUCAAGUCUUCCUUUUCCUUGUGUCACCUUUUGGGAAGAAUGUACUUCAGUACUAUCCUUGACAUUCAGAGAGGAAGUCACCGCACCGUUGUCUGAAUGCCAAAAUUAUACUACAAAAAUCUAGUCAAUGCAAUGCCACUGUAUUUCAAUUCUGCUGCUUUGUGUUACCUUAGAAAUCGUUUGCAAUUAAGCCAGGCACUAAAGCAGGGCCCAUUCUAAGCCUUAAGAGAUACCUACGGAUUAUGUUAACGCUAAAAGAAUGGAUCCAUACGUAACUGUGGCUUAGUUGUUUAUAGUUUUGCCGAUGGCAGUCGUUUUCAUUUACGUUUCGUAAAAACGGCCUUGCGUCAACCAGUGGAAUGACGGUGAGACCAGAUGACUCCAUCGACGAUGUUCUCAUCUGACUUGGGCUCGAGGUUCUGUCCAGAACAUGGUUGACGGAGCGCAGAAUAGUGUCAUGUUUCCAAUAUCUGUAUAUUUAAAAUCUGUUUUUCAUACUCUCACCAUUAGGUUAAACUGUAGCAACAGGUAGUUCAUAGCAGUUUGAUAUGUAGCUUAUUGAAAAGCAAUUUGUUUUUAGUUGACUGUUUUAAGCUAUGCAAAUCAAGCCUAUGUUCUGAUCUCUUCAAACAAAAUUACAUGUGAACUCUUUAAUGCUGAGCACUAGUUCUAGAAGUUGUUGAUGUUCUGUUGGAAGAUGUGUAAAAAGAAAAUGGCCUAUAAUUUGUAUGUGUUGAAAUUGACCAGAAUAGAUUCCGUUCAUGUUUUUUUAUGUUCCUUUUUGUUGUUUUUUGUUUUUGUUUUUUGCCAAUCUUGUAAGAAUUUCACCUCGUGUGCCAUUUUAAAGAGGAAAAUGAAGAGUGGAAUGAUGUUACUGUCUUAUUUUUCUUACAUGGGAAAAAAAAAACAGAACAAAAUAAACAACUGGAAAAUUU